rnacentral:rRNA from 1 species
AUGACUCUUGGCAGGGAAGAAGCUAUUUGGGCUGAAUCAGACGAGGUGCUGGAGCAGAUUGGGAAGGGCUCCUUUGGCUCUGCGCUCCUGGUGAGGCAAAAGGUUGAGAGGAAGAGGUAUGUCUUGAAGAAGAUCCGGCUCGCCUGUCAAACCGUCAGGUGCCGGCGAUCCGCACACCAAGAGAUGGAGCUCAUCGCAAAAGUAAGGAGCCCAAUCAUCGUGGAAUACAAAGAUUCUUGGGUGGAGAAGGGGUGCUAUGUGUGCAUCAUGAUUGGUUACUGCGGGGGAGGGGACAUGCUAGAGGCCAUUAAGAAGGCUAACGGCAACCAUUUCUCGGAGGAGAAACUCUGUGUGUGGCUUGUGCAGCUCCUGAUGGCGCUUGAUUACUUGCAUGCCAAUCAUAUCCUUCAUCGAGAUGUCAAGUGUUCAAAUAUAUUUCUUCCAAAGGACCAAAAUAUACGGAUCGGCGAUUUUGGGCUUGCUAAAGUGUUUACUUCUGAUGAUUUAGCUUCGUCGGUUGUAGGAACUCCCAGUUACAUGUACCCUGAACUUCUUCCUGACAUUCCAUAUGGCUCCAAGUCCGAUGUAUGGUCGUUAGGAUGCUGCAUCUAUGAGAUGACUGCGCUGAAGCAUGCAUUCAAAGCAUUUGAUAUGCAAACACUGAUAAACAAGAUUAACAAGUCUGUUGUCGCCCCUCUACCGACUAUAUAUUCUGGCGCAUUUAGGGGAUUCAUCGAAAGCAUGCUGCGCAGAAAUCCAGAUCACAGACCGUGCUGUAGAUCUGCUAAACCAUCUGCAUCUUCAGCCCUAUGUGUUGGAAAUCCAAUCGAAAUCAAGUCCGGCUCGCAAUAUGUUCCCAGCUAUACUUCCUAA